rnacentral:rRNA from 1 species
CGGGGUGCACCAGGCGCGAAAACUUUGCAAUGCGGGAAACCGUGACAAGGGAACUCUGAGUGCCCGUAAAAUCGGGCUGUCCAUCGGUUUAAAUAACCGGUGAAGAAAGGGCCGGGCAAGACCGGUGCCAGCCGCCGCGGUAAUACCGGCGGCUCGAGUGGUGGCCACUAUUACUGGGCUUAAAGCGUUCGUAGCUGGUUUGUUAAGUCUCUGGGGAAAUCUUCCGGCUUAACCGGAAGGCGUCUCAGGGAUACUGGCAGACUAGGGACCGGGAGAGGUGAGAGGUACUCCAGGGGUAGGAGUGAAAUCCUGUAAUCCUUGGGGGACCACCUGUGGCGAAGGCGUCUCACCAGAACGGCUCCGACAGUGAGGGACGAAAGCUGGGGGAGCAAACCGGAUUAGAUACCCGGGUAGUCCCAGCUGUAAACGAUGCGCGUUAGGUGUAUCAGUGACCACGAGUCACUGAGGUGCCGAAGAGAAAUCGUGAAACGUGCCGCCUGGGAAGUACGGUCGCAAGGCUGAAACUUAAAGGAAUUGGCGGGGGAGCAC